AGAGUUUGAUCCUGGCUCAGGAUGAACGCUAGCGGUGCGCCUAACACAUGUAAGUCGUGCGAUCGAACCGAACUGAGUCCCUUCGGGGACGAUGAUUGGUGACGGAGCGGCGGACGGGUGAGUAACGCGUGGCUAACCUACCCUCUUGACGGGGACAACCACCCGAAAGGGCGGCUAAUACCCGAUAUUGUCUGGAACCGAUGGGUUCCUUUCCAAAGGCGGUCCUGCCGCCGCAAGGGGAUGGGGCUGCGUCCUAUUAGCUAGUUGGUGAGGUAACGGCCCACCAAGGCUGUGAUGGGUAGCUGGUCUGAGAGGACGGCCAGCCACAUUGGGACUGAGAUACGGCCCAGACUCCUACGGGAGGCAGCAGUGGGGAAUCUUGGCCAAUGGACGAAAGUCUGAGCCAGCGACACCGCGUGGGGGAUGAAGGCCUUCGGGUUGUAAACCUCUUUUCUGGGGAAAGAAUAAGGACGGGAGGAAAUGCCCGCCCGAUGACGGUACUCCAGGAAUAAGCAUCGGCUAACUCUGUGCCAGCAGCCGCGGUAAGACAGAGGAUGCAAGCGUUAUCCGGAAUUACUGGGCGUAAAGGGCGUCUAGGCGGGUGAGCAAGUCACUUGUGAAAUCCCUCGGCUCAACCGAGGAGAGUCUCGUGGUACUGCUCGUCUUGGGUGUAGGAGAGGAGAGUGGAACUCACAGAGUAGCGGUGGAAUGCGUAGAUACCGUGAGGUACCCCGAUGGCGAAGGCAACUCUCUGGCCUACUACCGACGCUGAAGCGCGAAAGCGUGGGGAGCAAAGGGGA
rnacentral:rRNA from 1 species